rnacentral:lncRNA from 1 species
GGGGAAAAUCCCUUCCAUAAUAGGGAUCUAAUAAAGGAAUUGGUCAACGGGUGCAUCCCGCCUGAGGUCGUCUGCAGGAUCGUCCAUGCCGACCCUGAGCAGUGGGCCUGGGACUCUCUAGGGUCCUUUUUCAAGAUAGAUCAAUUCAUUCCUUCUUCCUGUUUCUUUACUCUGCUUACCUUUCGGCUUUUAUAUUGACUCCCUGACCGCUCUUGCAGGUGG